AUGGAAAGGAAAAGAUUUAAUAUCCUUGGCCAUUGUCUUUUCGUCAAACUUACGUCCAAUAAGACGCUUGAUGUCAAAAAUGGUGUUUUCAGGAUUGGAAGGAGCUUGGUUCUUAGCGGCCUCACCAACCAAACGUUCGUCUUCAGUAAAGGCCACAUAUGAGGGUGUAAUACGAUUACCCUGAUCGUUGGCAAUAAUUUCUACACGACCAUUUUUCAUAACGGCAACGCAAGAGUAUGUUGUACCAAGAUCAAUACCAAUAACUGUUCCAUAUGAUUCUGUAGAGUUAUCAU